rnacentral:rRNA from 1 species
UAAUGCAGUCGAGCGAGUGAAUUAACUGAUCCCUUCGGGGUGACGUUAAUGGAUCUAGCGGCGGACGGGUGAGUAACACGUGGGCAACCUGCCUGUAAGACUGGGAUAACUCGCGGAAACGUGAGCUAAUACCGGAUAACACUUCGAACCACAUGGUUUGAAGAUGAAAGGCGGCGCAAGCUGUCACUUACAGAUGGGCCCGCGGCGCAUUAGCUAGUUGGUGAGGUAACGGCUCACCAAGGCGACGAUGCGUAGCCGACCUGAGAGGGUGAUCGGCCACACUGGGACUGAGACACGGCCCAGACUCCUACGGGAGGCAGCAGUAGGGAAUCUUCCGCAAUGGACGAAAGUCUGACGGAGCAACGCCGCGUGAGUGAUGAAGGUUUUCGGAUUGUAAAACUCUGUUGUUAGGGAAGAACAAGUACAAUAGUAACUGAUUGUACCUUGACGGUACCUAACCAGAAAGCCCCGGCUAACUACGUGCCAGCAGCCGCGGUAAUACGUAGGGGGCAAGCGUUGUCCGGAAUUAUUGGGCGUAAAGCGCGCGCAGGCGGUCCUUUAAGUCUGAUGUGAAAGCCCACGGCUUAACCGUGGAGGGUCAUUGGAAACUGGAGGACUUGAGUGCAGAAGAGGAGAGUGGAAUUCCACGUGUAGCGGUGAAAUGCGUAGAGAUGUGGAGGAACACCAGUGGCGAAGGCGACUCUCUGGUCUGUAACUGACGCUGAGGCGCGAAAGCGUGGGGAGCGAACAGGAUUAGAUACCCUGGUAGUCCACGCCGUAAACGAUGAGUGCUAGGUGUUAGGGGGGUUUCCGCCCCUUAGUGCUGAAGUUAACGCAUUAAGCACUCCGC